rnacentral:rRNA from 1 species
UGGGGAAUAUUGGACAAUGGGCGAAAGCCUGAUCCAGCCAUGCCUCGUGUGUGAAGAAGGUCUUCGGAUUGUAAAGCACUUUAAGUUGGGAGGAAGGGCAGUAAGCGAAUACCUUGCUGUUUUGACGUUACCGACAGAAUAAGCACCGGCUAACUCUGUGCCAGCAGCCGCGGUAAUACAGAGGGUGCAAGCGUUAAUCGGAAUUACUGGGCGUAAAGCGCGCGUAGGUGGUUCGUUAAGUUGAAUGUGAAAGCCCCGGGCUCAACCUGGGAACUGCAUCCAAAACUGGCGGGCUAGAGUAGGGCAGAGGGUGGUGGAAUUUCCUGUGUAGCGGUGAAAUGCGUAGAUAUAGGAAGGAACACCAGUGGCGAAGGCGACCACCUGGGCUCAUACUGACACUGAGGUGCGAAAGCGUGGGGAGCAAACAGG